CGCCGUCCUCAGGUUCUCUGCGGCGUAGGCGGCGUCCCUGCAGCACCAGAGGGCCGCCCCGUCGUUGUCUCCCCUGCCACUAUCUACCGGCACCGUCCAACAUCUGCUGUCAUCCUCCACCACGAGGGGUGCCCCUAUUCACCGUCGUGAGAGGGUCCCCGUCCGCCUUACGAUGUAUUCCCCGUCGCGCGGCCACGCCACCAUCCCCUUCGAGGCUUCGACCGGUGCAGGUCAGGUGUAGGGGCCGCCCGCGAAAAGGGGCGGACGAGCCGCUGCAGGUGCCCUCUCUCGCUGCACCACCGUAUGACUCCCGCUGCCCCCGCCAGUGCAGAUCAACCAAUCUCAGUCUCCCUGUCAGGUUUGGAGAGAUUCAAUGUGUUUCUGUGGAGCUGGGUGACAUCACGGGAUUCUACAUGAUCGACGAGGAGGGCGUGCUGCAGUCGGUGGACGUCGGCGAGGAAGAGGAGAACGGGGAAACUUUGAUUGGGAGAUGACAACAGUAAUCAUGUGGUGCACCUGAAGGUUCAGUUUGAGGAUAAUAUUCAGGUCUUUGAUGGGAGGAGUUUGAGUAUGAAUUAAAGGCCAAUACUGCACAGGGAGCAGGCCUCGCCUAGAGGCUCCCGGUGUGAAGCUAAGAGGGAUAUGUGGGGAACCUUCCUGGGGGUGUCAAUAUGUUUACUCUUGCUAACCUGUUCAACGAACAAUGGGAGAUCCUGGAAGCGAGGUUCAUCUAUGACAGGGAUAGUUCGAGAUCAAGGGGGUUCGGUUUUGUCACAUGUGCCUCUGAUGAAGGGGUUGAGGAUCUGUCACCGAAUCUUGAUGGCGCUUUUUUUCGUGAGCUGUGAAGCUUCUCCCGGUUAGAGUUCUACACAUGGUUUUUGUUUGGUGAUGAAGUGGUACUGUCUUCAAGAAACAAAUGAAGGAUUGCAUCCUAUGACAUUACAGAAUGUCACCUGUUGUGUCGGUGAGCGCACUUUGACCACUAAACUCCAGUGUCCAAUUCCUUUCAGAUGUCUCCUUAAAACUGGAAACGUUUGCCCAAUCACUGAUAUGAUCCAUUUGGUCCCCCACUUUUGGAAUUUCUAGAACAAAAGGAAGGAAUAAUAUGAAGUUCUUUAUCUGAAAGUUUAUCAUUUUGAUAUUUUGCAAAUAGUCUUACGAUGAAGAAGCAUUGCAAACAUGGCCAUUUCGGUACUAAUCUUGGUCCAGUAUGUGUGCAAUGUGUUGGUAUCAUGUUGAAAUGGAGAUAUGCUUGUAGCUGAAGUAAGAAAUUGGCCUCCAACUUUAACUUCUUCAUAUUGUGUUGUGAACCUUUUGAAAGAAGAAAUAAGGCAGAAAGGAGAGCAGCAGAUUGCCACAACAACUGAGCUCAAGAAGUCUCACACUAAUUUUUUUUGUUUUACAAUGAUCUCCCCUUUUGCCUUUUGUUAUGCAUCACGGUAAAUUCUAAACCACAUGUUGUAGUUAUUUUAGUUCAGUGCCAGCCAAAUUUCUGGUUGGCUGAUUUAGAAUUGAUUUACGUAUUUUUCUAUUUGUUAGUUUCCAAUUUGAUACUCUAGACCUAUACUGUUUUGAGCAACAUUCUGUGGAUGGUUUUGGCAAAUGUGAUUAUGAUUUGAAUGAGGAAAUGUUAUAAUGUCUUAAUUUGA